GCCUACGGCCAUACCACCCUGAGAACGCCCGAUCUCGUCUGAUCUCGGAAGCUAAGCAGGGUCGGGCCUGAUUAGUACUCGGAUGGGAGACCGCCUGGGAAUACCAGGUGCUGUAAGCU
ensembl:rRNA 5S_rRNA 5S ribosomal RNA